CACCUACGGGUGGCUGCAGCAACGAAUAUUCCGCAAUGGGCGAAAGCCUGACCCAGCAAUGCCGCGUGCAGGAGGAAGUCCUUCGGGAUGUAAACUGCUGUCAGGGGUCAACAAGCAAAGGGACCUAAUACGUCCUGGCGUUGAGUCCCCCCAGAAGAAGCCUCCACUAACUCUGUGGCAACCAUCCCGGUAAGAACAAAGAAGGCAGCCUUUGUCCGAAUCCCCGGGGCUAAAACCCCGGGAAGGCGGCUUGGUAAUUGUCUGGGGAAAUCCCAGGGCUCAACCAUGGAACUGCACGGCAAACUACCUAGCUUGAGGUCGGUAGAGGUGCCUGGAACUCUAGGUGGAGCGGUGAAAUGCGUAGAUAUCUAGAGGAACGCCAGAAGCGAAAGCGGGGCACUGGGCCGAUUCUGACGCUGAGACGCGAAAGCGUGGGGAGCAAACAGGAUUAGAUACCCUGGUAGUCCACGCCGUAAACGAUGCACACUAGACGUUGGGGCCUCUGACGGAACCGGCGUCGUAGCAAAAGUGCUAAGUGUGCCGCCUGGGGAGUACGGCCGCAAGGCUAAAACUCAAAGGAAUUGACGGGGGCUCACACAAGCGGUGGAG
rnacentral:rRNA from 1 species